AUCGAACGCUGGCGGCAGGCCUAACACAUGCAAGUCGAGCGGAGGGGCGGACGGGGGAUUAAUGCCUAGGAAUCUGCCAGGUAGUGGGGGACAACGCUCGGAAAUGGGCGCUAAUACCGCAAACUAUCAGACGAGGCUCGGUCGGACUAGCUAGGUGGUGGGGUAAAGGCCUACCAUGGCGACGAUCCGUAACUGGUCUGAGAGGAUGAUCAGGCACACGGGAACUGAGACACGGUCCAGACUCCUACGGGAGGCAGCAGUGGGGAAUAUUGGACAAUGGGCGAAAGCCUGAUCCAGCCAUGCCGCGUGUGUGAAGAAGGUCUUCGGAUUGUAAAGCACUUUAAGUUGGGAGGCGUUACCAACAGAAUAAGCACCGGCUAACUACGUGCCAGCAGCCGCGGUAAUUC
rnacentral:rRNA from 1 species